rnacentral:misc_RNA from 1 species
GAUGUGUAUAAGAGACAGGUGAAUCAUCGAAUCUUUGAACGCAUAUUGCGCCCUUUGGCAUUCCGAAGGGCAUACCUGUUCGAGCGUCAUUACACCCCUCAAGUUCAAACUUCUGGUUAACUUGACGUUGGGCCUUGCCUUGGGGCAUGCCUAAAAAUCAGUGAUGGUACGUCAAACCACGGGCGCAUACAUGUCGUCACGUUGGGGCGAUGGCACCAGUCUCGCGAUUAAUUUCUCCAAAUGUUGACCUCGGAUCAGGUAGGGAUACCCGCUGAACUUAAGCAUAUCAAUAAGCGGAGG